GAAAUGCGAUAAGUAAUGCGAAUUGCAGAAUUUCCGUGAGUCAUCGAAUCUUUGAACGCACAUUGCGCCCGCCAGUAUUCUGGCGGGCAUGCCUGUCCGAGCGUCAUUUCAACCAUCAAGCCCCCGGGCUUGUGUUGGGGACCUGCGGCUGCCCGCAGGCCCUGAAAACCAGUGGCGGGCUCGCUGUCACACCGAGCGUAGUAGCAAUCAUCUCGCUCAGGGCGUGCUGCGGGUUCCGGCCGUUAAACAGCCUUACAAAACCCAAGGUUGACCUCGGAUCAGGUAGGAAGACCCGCUGAACUUAAGC
rnacentral:misc_RNA from 1 species